AUGGUAGUUUCUGGUGGUGCACGUGUCACCACAAGACCCACAAAGUUGGAGUGUUCAUAUUUUCUACCAACUGAAGAAUCCAAUCCCAUCUUCCCAUUCGCUACUUCUCAUCUAAUUCUAAGGACAAAAAUGAGUGGUCGAUCAAGUCGCACAAUUUAUGUUGGCAACCUUCCUGGUGAUAUUCGCUUGAGAGAAGUAGAGGAUCUGUUCUACAAGUAUGGUCCUAUUGUUGACAUUGAUUUGAAGGUCCCUCCAAGACCACCAGGCUAUGCUUUUGUAGAGUUUGAGGAUGCUCGUGAUGCUGAAGAUGCAAUUCAAUAUCGAGAUGGUUACAAUUUUGAUGGUUUUCGAUUACGUGUUGAACUUGCACAUGGUGGACGGGGACAUUCAUCAUCUGUAGACCGUUACAGUAGCUAUAGUGGUAGCAGUGGUAGCCGUGGAGUUUCCAGGCGUUCUGACUACCGUGUUCUGGUCACUGGAUUACCUCCAUCUGCUUCAUGGCAAGACCUGAAAGAUCACAUGCGCAAAGCUGGUGAUGUGUGUUUUUCACAAGUCUUCCGUGAGCGUGGUGGCAUGACUGGGAUAGUUGAUUAUACCAAUUAUGAUGAUAUGAAAUAUGCUAUCAGGAAACUUGAUGACUCAGAAUUCCGCAAUGCCUUUUCUCGGGCGUACAUACGAGUGAGGGAAUAUGAUCGAGGUUAUUCUAGAAGUCCCAGUCAUGAUUCAAGGAGGAGCUAUUCUAGAAGCCUCAGCCGCAGUCCAUAUAUCUCACGUAGCCGCAGCCGCAGCCGCAGCCAAAGUCAUAGCUAUAGCGAUAGGAGCAGAAGUUUCUCUCCAAAAGCAAAACACUCUCGGCGCUCAAUAUCUCUUUCAAGAUGUGGCCUUAUGCGGCGACCUGGGAACUGCAUGUUAGGAUCUUGAUGGCAUGUGGUGCUCAACCGCCAACUGUGGUUUGAGGUAAUACUGUUUUGUUGAUGAGCACCUGUGGAACACCUUAAUGUUGUAAUUAAUGAAGGUAAUGAUAUAUUUGAUUAAAAGCAUGGUCUGCGAUUGUUGUAGACUUGAUGACAGUAGAUGGAUGAGUUGCAAUCUAAAAGGUGGACCACCGUGAACUAAAUGCCAUUGGUACCAACCAUUGCAAAUCAGCACUGUUACAAUUCAAAAACUACAACAUAAACUGUGCUAUGAGUUCUGUUUGAUCUAUUCCUUCUAUUUAGGAGUUCUCUUAUUGUCUUAUAUUGGGUUGGAUAUAUCUUCCCUAUAAUUGGUUCGAAGUUAUCAUGUGCUGCUGACAAUAGUAUUUUUAACACGUAUUGGGACUAUAGACGUGUGAUACUGGGUUCAAUUGCUUUUCCACUUGGAUGCUGCUGAAGAUUUGUGGUGGAUUAAUUUCUUCGUUUUGGUUAUGGUAACUUUGAUGUGGAAUAUGGGCCGUGGAUCAUUAUGGAUAUUGAAUUGAGUUUUGUUGAUUAAUUUUUUUUUUGCAGAUCUCAGUCAAGAUCCAGAUCUCCAAAUUCAUCGUCUCAACCUGGCCAGAGUCGCAGUCCUAGCCAAAGUCCUAGGAGCCCAUCAUGAUCUCAUUUGGGUCGAGAGAUCUGAACGCAGCUGAACUGCUGUUGAAUCUGGAGAUUUACCGGGCGUGUAUUUUCUGUGCUGAAUUUUCAUUUGAUAACUAAACCUUAGCGCAUUUGAAAUCCUAUAUAGCUUUGUUGCUACCUCUAGUUUGUAUUUGAAUUUUAAAUUUGAUAGUUGAAGCCGUGAAAGAAACCUAAUAGGCAUUUAAAUUUGAAGUGGAUGAUUCGAGCUAGAACUCAAAUGUAUCUGUACUAUCUAUUAUCAAUGUUAUCAGUUGUGGCUGAGCUACAUUCUAACUUGGCAA